UACGAAGGGGGCUAGCGUUGUUCGGAAUUACUGAGCGUAAAGCGCACGUAGGCGGAUUGUUAAGUCGAGGGUGAAAUCCCAGGGCUCAACCCUGGAACUGCCUUCGAUACUGGCAUUCUUGAGUCCGAGAGAGGUGAGUGGAAUUCCGAGUGUAGAGGUGAAAUUCGUAGAUAUUCGGAAGAACACCAGUGGCGAAGGCGGCUCACUGGCUCGGAACUGACGCUGAGGUGCGAAAGCGUGGGGAGCAAACAGG
rnacentral:rRNA from 1 species